rnacentral:misc_RNA from 1 species
UAUUCCUGAGUGGUUAUCUGGACCUUUUCCAUAGUUUCUUCUCUUUUCUUUUCCUUUUCUCCUUUUACCUCCUGACAUCAAAUGUUGAAUUAAAAUCGUGGUUGUGCCCAUCCUUGAAGGAUGAUGACAACAAGUGUUAAGAUCAAGGAAUUCCAUAAUUGUUUGAAGUCAAUGGUUUGCAGGCUAGUCAUUUCUAAGAAGAUUAGGUCUUUUUGCUUUCAUUUUUUUUGGAAUUAUGUAAAAUCAUUAUGAAGUACAGGCG